rnacentral:lncRNA from 1 species
CACGGGCUGACAUCCCCGGGUAGCAAAGGGAAUGCUCCGCUUUCCUGGGGGCUGCAGGGUGGGAGGGAUGUGCAUGUGCCCGACUGGUGCUGACCCCUAGCCAGGGCAUUUUGGGGUUAUUUUUCCCCAGAGCUUCCAGCGCCGGGCAAUGAUUUGCCCCUCAUCAGCCCCUUUAAGGUGUCAUCAUCAGCACUUGACUUAAUUAGGACAUCUUGGUGUGAUAAGCAGCCUUCUCCUGACCCCCGUGCUUCCACUGUGAAUUAGAUAUAGCAAAGCAAACAGCUCCUCAGUCCCCGCAAUGCCUCACCACCUCCCUGCCCUUGUCACUGCUGUAGGGGGUGGCAGGGCUGGAGGGAGCCCGCAGAUCAGGGCAGCAGAGCCCGACUGCCCGGCCGGAGGCCAGCAUGGUUUCUUUUAGAGCGUGUUUAAAGCACCAGCUUCCUUGGGAGAUGUCCUACAGGGCUGGCCAGGAAAUAAAGAAAAGAAAGUUUGAUGAUCUUCGCUUCUUUCCACCAGGGCGAAGAUGCCAGCGGGAGAACUACAGCUGUAGAUCUGAGUGCUGCCGCCAGGAGACAACAGCCUGCCCAGGGUGCCGGUGGGAUCUGGGGAGAGGGAAGCAGUAGAUCUGCUGCCUGGUCCAGCGCACACCAGGCUGUCCUUUCUGGAGGUUUCUCUGCAGAACUGGGCAGACAUUGCUGGAGGGAUCGUGUGUUGAUGAUGAAGGGAAGAGAUGAAGGUCUGGGUCCAGCUUGAGCUGUGGGUCACUUAGGCUUUGCAAUACACUUCUGCUGGUGGUCCCAGGGGAGGCAGCAGUGGGAUUUGCUUUUAUUCAGUAAAAGAAACAAAACAGAAUGCAUCACUGAUAUCUGCAAAACCAACAUGGCCAGCUGCUGGCUUUAGAAAAUCACAACCAGACAGACGUGUGACCACACCAUGUCUGUUCUCUUUGUGCCUGCUAGGAUUUCUGAGCCUAGCAUCAGGCCACCUCCUACAGCCUUUUACUUUACAAAUGAGGGCCAGAAACUCUAAAGAAAUAAAAGAGUAAGGUGAAGUUUCCA